AAACUAGGUAUUUCUGUCUAUAUCUCAUAUAAUUGUCAUAUCUUAAGCACCAAGUGGUGGCUUAGAUGGUUAGGGCAUGCAAAAGACGUUUCAGUUUUGCCCAUGAUUGAAACCCAACCAUUGGCGUUUCAUUGAAAAAUGAAAAUUCCUCCACAAAGACUUGAAUGGGCCGGGCCUAGCUUGGUCCAAUUUACAUGAUCAUGUUGGGUUUGGGCCUUAUCUCAUCCUGAUAACUAAUUGAGCUUGGCUUGAUUAAGUGUUGGGUCAGGCCUUUGUUGAGGUCAACCCAGCUUGAGCCCAACCCUACUAGCUGCCAAUUUCCAAAGUACCCAGAGUUUCCCAUCUUCCAUACUUGUUUAUGAGUUGUCUAUGUCUUUGAUACUCAUCUUACUUCCAAUGGGCAGAAAUAGUGCUGAAGAGGGGCAAUCAUAGACACUAAAAUUUUGAUGGGAAACGAAUAUAUGGGUUCCCAUAUACAUAAUUUUUUUUGUCUUGGUAUAGACAACCGUUUGGUAUGAUGGGAGAGUUAAGAGCGAGGCAAUAACAAUUUCAUGGACUAGCUCCAACUGUUUUUGUUAAGCUGCAAUUAAUGUGUGACAUUGUUGUCGGCUCACUACUAGUUAUUCGAUGUAUAUGGGGACUAACAUCCUUCCUAUCUUAAUUAGACAACUUGGCAGUGAGCUGACAAUAAUGUCACACAUUAAUUAUGGCCUAACAAGAACAAUUGGUGCUAGUCUUUGACAUUGUCGUCUGAUUACCAUGGACAUGCAUAUGGGACCCCAUAAAAAGCUCGCCCAAUAUUGAUUAAGUAGAAGAGACGUCAAAACCUAUCCAUAGCAUCCAAAUCUACAGAAAUAAGCUACCAUAGGUACCCUAGUUCCAAAACAAGUCUCCCAUGCCAACCUAUGCGCUUGAUAACCUAUAAGCCAACACCUCUAGGUUUAGAAUUCAAUCGUUUCAAAACUCAUCCAAACUUGUGUGUACCCUACGCCACCUUGCAGGGAAUUCAAUGAGCUUUUCAACUGUCCAAAAGGCACUCAUAUGGCUGUUUUACUAAACCAAUUUGUAAAAGACACAAGAGUCCUUGGUCAUGGCUACUUCGCCGUGUUGGUGGGGCAAAUACCAGUGCAGUUCUGACUACAUGUACCUUAGAGGAAUUUUGACUCCAUAUCAUGCUAGCUUUUCUCCUGAAGACUUUAGAAGAUUCCAGGAUGGGCCCUUUUGCUCUAUGGUUCAUUUUGAGUCUAGACACCCGAGCAACUACAAAACCUUACCCUAUUAUUCAAAUUUGUGAUUCUAUGGAACCCUAACCGUAAUGCUCUAAAAACACAAGGGGCCUCUGCAUCCUAUAUGCAAAACUCUUGUUUUCUUCAACAAAAAUAUCAAAACAUCAAAACGACUUUGACUGAUCAAGGUUGUAGUCUCUAUUGUUACAACCUUGAUCAGACAAAGAACCUAAACAAAUUUCUAUUUGCUCUAAUAUAGCUUCCAUGACUUUGAGGUCUAGGCCCACAGUGGCCCAUGUUCAUUUCUGCCAUUUUCUUGUUUAUUCUUGCGGUUUAUGGUUGAAUUAGCUUUAUCUUGUGUAGAUCUAGCAGUACCUUACCAUUUCUUUUAUUUUUAAAACCUUUCCUUUAAUGUGUCUAAGACCUAGAGCAGCAAAACAUAUCUAUUCGAGUUUGGAGUAGAAUGAUAAAUCCAGUAAAAUGAUAGAUCAACUCGUAGGUGACAACUCCAAAGGGACGGGAUAUAUUUUGGCAUUGUUCCAAAUUGACCCUCAUUCUUGAAACACCCUAUUUAGGGACUGAGUAUCUUUUAUAUCCUUCAGUCAAGUUCUAUAUUGGUUUGAGUCAAGAAACCUUAUGGUUCUCUUGCCCAGAUUUGCGUGUAACACAUGUAUAGGCUAAUUUCUUGUUGGUUUUUUAGUACAUAGAGGCAGUUGUGGGUCAGAUGAUUUGUGCACAUAAUGAAUGCCUAAGCUUUGUGCAAAUACCCUGUGGUUGUUGAAAGUGCAAUGGCAAGUUAGGGGCCUAAAUAUAAUAUGUUAUCUAAUAAGGAUAUUUGUGAGUUGUUAUUUAAAUAAGGGUAUAUAUGACCUUUAAUUUUACUUAACAUUGAAAAGGUUUCAAAUGCUAUGAUCCUGUUAAUAAAGUUCGCCAUGUCUUUAUGGAUGUUACCUUCUUUGAAUGCAUUUCAUAUUUCUUCUAUGUUGGAAAACAAUGCUUUCUUCAGGGUGAGAACAAUAGAUAGGAAGCAAGCAAUCCAAACGCCAUUGCCCAAAAUGAAGAUGGAAAUGCAUUGGUUGCACCCAAGGAAAAGGAGUUCAAGAUGUAUAUUGGGUGAUAGCUCAUCAGGCAUUAAAGAUUUAAAAUGCUAUCUGAGUAAGGUGUUUGAAAAAAGAUUUUGUUCCAGUUCCCCUCAGAUACUUUUUGGGUAUUGAAGUGGCAAUUUCUCAGAGGAAAUAUGCGUUGGUAGAUGCUCCUAUGGAAAUCAAUCAUAGACUCCAUGCCCCGAUGGGAGAGUUGGUAAAGGAUCCUAGUCAAUAUUAGAGGUUUUUGGGCAAACUUAUGUAUCUUAAAACUGCAAAACUAGAUAUAUCGUAUGCAGUUAGUGUAGUUAGUCAAUUCAUGCUUGCCCCAUGAACCUUACUUAGAUGUUUCCUAUCUCAUCCUUAAGUAUCUGAAGUCAUCUCUAGGGAAGGGUUUGUUGUUCACUUAUCAUGGCCAUUGAAAACUUCAGAAAUGUAGAGAGAGAAAGAAACAGAGCAAGAGAGAGAGAGAGAGAGAGAGAGAGAGAGAGAGAGAGAGAGACGUUAAGAGAGAGAGGGAUGUUUAGAUAGAAGGGGAAAUAGGUGCCAUUUCAUGUUUUGUUUGGGUAAAAAAUGUGUGGUCAAAGGGGCGUAUUUGGGUCCAGGGGAUUAGAAGAUACAAAAGAUUGAAACUUUAUGUUACAAGGAAGGUUUUGAAAUCUUGGGUCUCUUGAAAAAUGAUUUUUCAAAACAGGGUGUACGGAGAAGUUUACCCUUAUUGAUUAUAUUCUGUUGGAAUUGUGAUCCCGUAGUCCUUCAUUGUAAAAUAUUUAAAUGGGUUGCAAUGCCUUAGAUACUCUUGGGAACAUCACUACUACUGGUGGAUGAAGCCAUGUACGUAAUUUUAGUCAUUUAAGCUAUUGUAGGUCUUUUCAUGAGAACAGUCUUUAUUCAUACUGAUACACUAACAUAAUGCCCUUUAAAAUAGAUUGCAUUGUCAGUGGUUCCGAAAACUAUUUAUCCAAUCACCUAGCAAGACAGACUCUUAUUCUGCCUAAUAGGCUGUUUAUAUUUUUAUUGUUGAUACUUGAUAGAACCAUUUUUUAUAUUGUUUUCCUGGUUUACUCUUACUGGCAUUGUUAUUUCCCUUUAAUUGCAGAUUUUCGUAUGGGGUUUAUUAAUAUUCACCAUAUAUAGUGAAGGCCCUUAUCCUUCACCAUAAAGAAUAAACAUUUAUUUCCCAUACAUUUGUAAUUAUGUCUUAGUAGGGGUAUUUUGGUAAUUAGGAAGGGUUAAUUGAAAAAUGCUAAAUUCAAUGGCAAUAUGUUUUGGAUUUGGCACUAAAUCCUGAAACCCGUCCAUAAUUAAUACUUUUUUUAAUUUUUUGCUCGAUUAAAUGAUCAAAAUAACGUUAUACCUCAACCAUUUUUAUUAAAAAUUAGGGUAAUUUAGGUUAUAAUAUUAUGGUGAAGUCUUCACCAUGAAUGGUUAUUUUGUUUGAUAGGAUUUGAUUAACCUUUAGUCUACAGGGUGAAGGCUCCUAUCAUUCACAAUAAUAUUAUGGAAAAUAUUACCUUUCUUUAUUAUUAAAAUUAAUGUGGUGCAAUGGUAUUUUGUUAUUUAAUAUAACAAAAAUUUCAGAAUAGUAUUAUUAUGCAACGGUUUCCAGAUUUAGUGCCGCAUUAAUUAUACAUUAAGUGUUGGGUAACAAUUCAAUAGAGACGACCACAUUUAAAUGUUAUUAAGAACCCUUUUUUAUAUGGAAAAAGUUUAUAUAAGGUGUAAGUAGAAAUAAUGUGCACCUCAAAAAUCUAUGUUGUUCGGAUGUUGAAAAAGUUCAUAUAAGUAUUGUAGAAAUAAUGUGCACCUCAAAACUCUAUGUUGUUUCGAUGUUAAAAAACCUUACAAUUGAUCAUUUGAACUUCGAGAUAUAUGUAUAUGAAAAAAGAAACAAGGAUUUUAAAUCAUAUAAAUAUUGCAUCUUGUAACAUAUUAUCUAGGCAGUCAAUUUUCAAAAAAUUUGAGUGUCUAUAGGUCUGCUCGUUUUGCAUAAUUUUUAGAGCUUUAAAUUUCAUAAUUAGGUGUGAAGACCACUGUUUAAGUGUUUCGGCACCCGAACUACAUCUAGCAAGAUUUAGGUGGGUGCCUUACUUUGAUCGUUUAAGGUUGACACCUUAUACAAACUUCACCCUUUCUAUAUUGCUGGUUGGUAAUUUAUUUGUUUCAUCAUUGAGUAUAAUGUUUGUGAAUGUAGUGAUUAUCUAUUGCUCUUUGAAGGCUUGAAGUUACUUGGGUUCUUAUUUAACCCCCUCCAAAGAAAAAGUGACUUGGUUUCUGCAAUUUUUCUGUUUUUCAGGUGUGAAACGUUUCAUGUCAACUUCCAAAAUGUCAAGCUCCAAAAGGGGAUGUUCCAAUUUAGUCGAUUCCUGCAUGUAUCAAAGCCGAAAUUUUGAUAAAAAUGACGAAAAAAAUGACAGGAAAUCAGCAAGAUUUAUUUUUGCUGAUGUUUUCAGUGGCACCCAAUUGCGUGUAACUGAAAUGACAGGAAAUCAGCAAGAUUUCAUUUUGCUGAUGCUUUCAGUAGCACCCAAUUGCCUGUAACUGCAUUACUGCUCCCAUAUUGUUUUCAUUUUCUAUGAAUGGAAAGAUAAUUUUAGGUUGCGGACAUGGAUUUUUCUUUUCUCUGAUUUUUGUUGGUGGCUAUUCUCUUGUUCUUGGAAGAUCAUGUGAAACCAUAUUACUGUGUUCACCCCCUUUCUCAUUUUGCAAGGUUAUGCUAUAGGAUAUUACUAAUGAAGUAGUGCCUUUGUCUUUCUUAAUUGAAAAAGUACGUGGUAAGACUUUUUAUUUU